GAGUUUGAUCAUGGCUCAGAUUGAACGCUGGCGGUAGGCUUAACACAUGCAAGUCGUGCGAGAAAGUAUCUUCGGAUAUGGGUAGAGCGGCGGACGGGUGAGUAACGCGUAGGAAUCUACCUAGUAGAAGGGGAUAGCCCGGGGAAACCCGGAUUAAUACCGUAUACCUCCUUCGGGAGAAAGAAGGCCUCUCUUUGAAGCUUUCGCUACUAGAUGAGCCUGCGUAAGAUUAGCUUGUUGGUGAGGUAAAGGCUCACCAAGGCGACGAUCUUUAGCUGGUCUGAGAGGACGAUCAGCCACAUUGGGACUGAGACACGGCCCAGACUCCUACGGGAGGCAGCAGUGGGGAAUAUUGGACAAUGGGCGCAAGCCUGAUCCAGCCAUACCGCGUGUGUGAAGAAGGCCUUCGGGUUGUAAAGCACUUUAAGCAGGGAGAAAAAGUUAUAAGUUAAUACCUUAUAACCCUGAUGUUACCUGCAGAAUAAGCACCGGCUAAUUCCGUGCCAGCAGCCGCGGUAAUACGGAAGGUGCAAGCGUUAAUCGGAACUACUGGGCGUAAAGCGCGCGUAGGUGGUUUGUUAAGUUGGAUGUGAAAGCCCUGGGCUCAACCUAGGAACUGCAUCCAAAACUAACUCACUAGAGUACGAUAGAGGGAGGUAGAAUUCAUAGUGUAGCGGUGGAAUGCGUAGAUAUUAUGAAGAAUACCAGUGGCGAAGGCGGCCUCCUGGAUCUGUACUGACACUGAGGUGCGAAAGCGUGGGUAGCGAACAGGAUUAGAUACCCUGGUAGUCCACGCCCUAAACGAUGUCUACUAGUUGUUGGUGGAGUAAAAUCCAUGAGUAACGCAGCUAACGCGUGAAGUAGACCGCCUGGGGAGUACGGUCGCAAGAUUAAAACUCAAAUGAAUUGACGGGGGCCCGCACAAGCGGUGGAUUAUGUGGAUUAAUUCGAUGCAACGCGAAAAACCUUACCUGGCCUUGACAUGUACCGAAUUUAGCAGAGAUGCUUUAGUGCUCGAAAGAGAACGGUAACACAGGUGCUGCAUGGCUGUCGUCAGCUCGUGUCGUGAGACGUUGGGUUAAGUCCCGCAACGAGCGCAACCCUUGCCAUUAAUUGCCAUCAUUUAGUUGGGCACUUUAAUGGGACUGCCGGUGACAAACCGGAGGAAGGUGGGGAUGACGUCAAGUCCUCAUGGCCCUUAUGGCCAGGGCUUCACACGUAAUACAAUGGUCGGUACAGAGGGAAGCCAACCCGCGAGGGGGAGCCAAUCUCAGAAAGCCGGUCGUAGUCCGGAUUGUUGUCUGCAACUCGACAGCAUGAAGUCGGAAUCGCUAGUAAUCGCGGAUCAGCAUGUCGCGGUGAAUACGUUCCCGGGCCUUGUACACACCGCCCGUCACACCAUGGGAGUGGGUUUUACCAGAAGUAGUUAGUCUAUCCGCAAGGGGGACGAUUACCACGGUAGGAUUCAUGACUGGGGUGAAGUCGUAACAAGGUAACC
rnacentral:rRNA from 1 species